GCUUUGGACAUUAGCUCAGUUGGUAGAGCAUGAGACUCUUAAUCUCACAGUAACGAGUUCGAGCCCCAGGUUGGGCA